UACGUAGGAGGCGAGCGUUGUCCGGAGUUACUGGGCGUAAAGGGUGCGCAGGCGGCGGUUCGCGUGGAUAGAUGAAACCUCCUGGCUUACCUGGGAGGAUGGUAUCCAGACGGGAUCGCUUGAGGGUCGGAGAGGGGCGUGGAAUUCCGGGUGGAGCGGUGAAAUGCGUAGAGAUCCGGAGGAACACCGACGGCGUAGGCAGCGCCCUGGACGACACCUGACGCUGAGGCACGAAAGCUGGGGGAGCGAACAGG
rnacentral:rRNA from 1 species